CAUGCAGCACAUGGAAGCUCCCAGGCUAGAGGUCCAAGUAGAGCUGCAGCUGUCAGCCUACACCAGUCACAGCUCCACGGGAUCCAAGCUACAUCUGCAACUUACAUCACAGCUCACAGCAACACAGGAUCCUUAACCCACUAAGCGAGGAGCCAUGGUGUAGGUCACAGACGUGGCUCGGAUCCCUCGUUGCUGUGGCCCUGGUGUAGGCCGGCAGCUACAGCUCCGAUUCGACCCCUAGCCUGGGAACCUCCAUAUGUUGAGGGAACGGCCCUAGAAAAGGCAGAAAGACAAAAAACAAAAACAAAAAAAAACAAACCCACAAACUUCGCCUAGAGAUGGUCCUGCCCACCUCCUCACCAGAUGUCCUUUAAUGACUCAAGUCCACACCUACUGUUCCUUCUGCCACCGAGAAUCUCACCAGCCGGGGAGGCUUGUGUUAAUAGAGGCAACUCCUCUGAGAAGCUGAACUGGUGGUAAUUAAAAAAGAGAGGAGAGGACAAUCAGAGAUAAAGGAAAACCACAGCCUGUAAGCUUGAAGCAGAUCAUGACCCAAAAUCUGGAAACAUUUUUUAUUUCACAGGAUGGUUGUAAAGAACUAAUGAGGAUGCAGAUGAGGGUGAAAUGCAAAUAAAGUGCUCUGUGCUUGUGCAGAGCGCAGGAAGUGGGGGGCCUAACGGCCCAGCACCACUUCUUUAAAAAGCAACACCUAGGAGUUUCCAUCCGGCUCAGUGGUAAUGCACCUGACUAGCAUCCAUGAGAACUCGGGUUCCAUCCCUGGCCUCGCUCAGUGGGUUAAGGAUCCAGUGUUGCCGUAAGCUGUGGUGCAGGUCACAGACAUGGCUCAGAUCUGGUGCUGCUGUGGCUGUGGCGUAGGCCAGGAGUUACAACUCCGAUUCGACCCCUAGCCUGGGAACUUCCAUAAGCUGUGGGUGCAGCCCUAAAAUGACAAAAAUUAAAAUUAAAUUAAAAAUAAAAAUAAAUGGUACACGGGUCAGAAUGCCCAUCAUCCAAAAGUCUACAAACAAUAAAUGCUGGAGAGGGUGUGGAGAAAAGGGAACCCUCCUGCACUGUUGGUGGGAAAUGUAAAUUGGUACAACCACUGUGGAAAACAGUAUGCAGGUUCCUCAGAAAACCAAAACUAGAACUACCAUAUGAUCCAGCAAUCCCACUUAUGGGCAUCUAUCUGGAGAAAACAAAAUUCGAAAAGAUGCACGCGCCUCGAUGUUCGGUGAAGCGCUAUUUAGAAUAGCCAAGAUAUAGAAGCAACUUAAAAGUCCAUCGAGAGAGGACUGGAUAAAGAAGAUGUGGUACAUAUAUAAAAAAGCAUGAAAUAAUGCCAUUUGCAGCAACAUGGAUAGACUUAAGAGAUUAUCAUGCUAAAUGAAGUCAGAAAGAAACAGGCAAAUAUCAAAUGAUAUCACUUAUAUAUGGAAUUAAAAAAAAAGAUACAGGAAGAUCCCCUGCAGUACAGCAAGUUAAGUAUUCAACGUUUCCACAACUGUGGUGCAGCUCACAGCUGCAGCAUGGUUUUUCGGUUUGUUUUUGUUUUUACAGCUGUGGCAUUACAUUUACAGCUGUUUUCACAGCUGUUUGUUUUACCGUUUGUGGCAUAUGGAAGUCUCCAGGCCGGGGGCUGAACUGGAGCUUGCAGAUGUGACCUCCACCUAGCUUGUGACCACAAUGGAUCCUUAACCCACUGGGCAAGGCCUGGGAUCGAACUCACAUCUUCAUGGAGACAAGGACGGAGUCAGGUCCUUAACCUGCUGAGCCGCAAUGGGAACUCUUGCAGCACAGGUUUAAUCCCUGGCCCAGGAACCUCCACAUGCUGCAGAACGUCAUGCAACCAAAAAAAAAGAGAUAUAAACGAACUUAUUUACCUAACAGAAACAGACUUACAGACUUCAGAAAAAACCUAAGGUUACCGAAGGGGAAAGAUGCGGUGGGGGGGACAGAUUGGGAGCUUGGGACUGGCAUGUGCACACUAUCAUAUAUGGAACGAAUGGUCAGCAGGGACCUGCUGUAUAGCGCAGAGAAAUCUACCCAAUAUCCUAUGAAAACCUUUGUGGGAAAUGGACAGGUGUACACGUGUGGUUGAAUCACCUUGCUGUACAACAGAAAUUAACACAAUAUUGUAAAUCAACUAUACUUCAAAAAAAUUUUUUUUAAAAAAAGCUAAGAGCGCAGUUUGGAUACAGAUGGGUAUACCUGGCAUAUCUGACUUCAUAAGGAAAGCAUUUGAUGAGAUUUUCUCUAUGGAAUCCUUGUGGAUAAGAUGGGACCCUUAGGCCAGAUAAGGCAAAGGGGUAAGUAGCCAAACCAGCAUGCCCCCCAAAGUAGAUUAUCAGACGAAUAUGAACCCAGAGGGAAAUUUCUCACUGUGUUCUAAUGGACUCCAUUCUGGGUGUGUUCAGCUCAACAUUAACCGUAAUUCCCUUGGGAAAAAAGUACUGGGGAAUAUGGCUAAACACGUACAGAUAUCACAAAACCAGAAGACAAACACUACAAUGUACACUAUAAAUAAAAUUAUAAAAUCAUUCUGAAUACUGCUGUGUUAAUGCAGUAUUCAGAAUAAUUUUACGCCUACGAUUUAUAUUUAAUCCCUACAGAAUAAAGCAGAGGCCUUAAACUGGUGAACUGCCCAUGUGCUUUGUUUAGCUUGCCCAAUGUUAAGAAAAAAAAAAUUAAACUGGCUAAGAGCAUGUAAAAAUUAGCUGGUUUCACAUUUUUAAAAUCCGGAUUUUAAGCUUAGCAAAGCAGACAACCUCAUUGCUGCCAGACCACAUCAGCUGGAGGUGAGCGUUGCCAUCCCAACUCUUGGAUGAGCCAUGCCCCUCCCCCAUUCUGGGUACCAGCAUGGCCCAACUCAUCCCAAGUCACCGGCCAGGUCCCUAAUGGCAUUUGACUUGGUGACUCCUGCAGUAAAAUGUUGGCUCAUGUUAUUAAAUGUGUCCAAUUUAGUGUAAAUUGUAUUCGAUUGUGCAUUAAAUGCUAAUCCAAUCUUCUCCCACUUUCAGCCUUUGCAGGGUUUUGCUCCUGCAGCAAGAGCCAACAUCUGAUCACAACUUCCUAGUGGCAACCGGCGCACACAGAGCAUCUCAGUUUUCCGGUGUUCUUCCCUAGCCUUUGGCCUAAUUUAAUCUCCCCCAAAUUUCAGGAAGUCUGAGCUCACUGUCUGUAUUAUAAGGGAGACCAACAGGCUAACAGGGACAACCGCAAGAUUUCGACUCAGGGCCUGGGUCAACUUUUAAUUGACCAUCUCCCACCACACCACGCACCCUCGACGCCUGGCGACAGCCCUGAUUCCAAGCUGAUUCGAUAAGAGGAGAUGUAGGUCCAGACUGCAAAGCUGCUGGGCUACUCCAAAAGCGGCCAGCAUUUAGGAUCCUUACUUUACUUCCAUUUUCAAUCUUUUUUAAAAAAAAAAAAAAAAAAAA
ensembl:lncRNA